rnacentral:rRNA from 1 species
UACAGAGGUCCCAAGCGUUGUUCGGAUUCACUGGGCGUAAAGGGUGCGUAGGUGGUGGGGUAAGUCUCGUGUGAAAGCUCGCGGCUCAACCGCGAAAAGUCACGGGAUACUAUUCUGCUGGAGGGUUGGAGGGGGGACUGGAAUUCUCGGUGUAGCAGUGAAAUGCGUAGAUAUCGAGAGGAACACCAGUGGCGAAGGCGAGUCCCUGGACAACACCUGACACUGAGGCACGAAAGCUAGGGGAGCAAACAGG